CGGGGCGGGGCCUGAUAAGGCUGGACUGGGCUGGGGACCAGGCCUUGCCAGUUAGAGGAAGAGGCUGAAAGCAGGGAUUGGGACCACGCCCAAGGCCCCAUCAAACUCCUCCCGGAGGCCCCCUCCGGUCCUAUUUCCUCCCUCGCGGGUGGAGGCUCUGUAGCGAGGAGUUUCUCGGCCCAGAGCGGUCUGCGGCUUGUCUAAGGCAUCUUCGGAUUAGCUGAUCUCCGCACCGCCUCGGCCUGCAUCUUGCUUUCUGAACCUCCAGGGAUGUUUAAGGCAGCAAGCAACAGCCAUCUGAUUGUGUCUUGAGAGGAAGACCCUGCCCUAUGCUGGGAAAGUUGAAAAGACACCAGGGCAACCUGGACGUCUGGCUGGACCCCUGAUGGAAGGUGCGUGAAGUGAUAAGAGCAUGUCGUUCAGCUUGAGUGAGUGGCUGUGGCAGGAGACAUACUGGUUACCACCCAAUGUCACAUGGGCAGAGCUGGAGGACCGUGAUGGCCUGGUGUUCGCCCACCCUCACCACGUGCUUGCUGCCUUCCCAGUGGCUCUGGUCCUGGUGGCUGUGCGAAUUGUCUUUGAGAGAUUUGUGGCCUUGCCCCUGAGCCGGUGGAUGGGUGUGCAGGAUCCAAUCAGGAGAAAGAUAAAGCCCAACCCGGUGCUGGAGAAGUACUUCCUCAGGAUGAAGCAGUGUCCAGAGGAGACACAGAUGGUCCUGCUGGCUUCCCAGUGUGGCCUCACGCUUCGGCAGACUCAACGCUGGUUCAGGAGACGUCGGAACCAGGAUCGGCCUUCCUUAUCCAAGAAAUUCUGUGAAGCCUGCUGGAGGUUUGUCUUCUAUCUGUGUUCCUUCGUGGGUGGCACCUCCAUCCUCUACCAUGAAUCAUGGUUGUGGUCGCCAUCAUUGUGCUGGGAGAAUUACCCACAUCAGACCCUGAAUUUGUCCCUGUACUGGUGGUACCUCCUGGAGCUGGGCUUCUACCUUUCACUGCUGAUCACUUUGCCCUUUGAUGUCAAACGCAAGGACUUCAAGGAGCAGGUGGUGCACCAUUUUGUGGCCGUGGGACUGAUAGGCUUCUCCUACAGCGUCAACUUGCUCCGCAUUGGCGCUGUGGUACUGUUGUUGCAUGACUGCUCCGACUACCUGCUGGAGGGUUGUAAGAUUCUCAACUAUGCCCACUUUAGGCGAGGGUGCGAUGCUCUCUUCAUCAUGUUUGCCUUAGUCUUCUUCUACACGCGCCUCAUAUUCUUCCCCACCCAGUAAGUCCUGAGGGUUUAGGGAGAGGGUAGGGCUGUGUCCAGGAUUCGGGCAGUCCUAACCCUUGGUGCCCUACCUCAGUGAACUGGAGGUGUUGGCUGGGAUUUUUGCAGAGCACAACAUAUGCAAAGGCACAGAGGGUCAUCUACACGUCUGUGUAUGACUCCAUCAAGAACUCGGGCCCCUUCUUUGGCUACUACUUCUUUAUUGUGCUCUUGGUGAUGCUACAGAUUCUUCAUGUGUACUGGUUCUGCCUCAUCCUGCGCAUGCUCUACAGUUUCCUGCAUAAGGGUCAGAUGACAGAGGACAUUCGUAGCGAUGUGGAAGAACCAGACUCCAGUGAUGACGAGCCAGUUUCUGAAGGUCCACAGCUGAAGAAUGGGAUGGCUCGAGGGUCUAGAGUAGCUGUUACCAAUGGCCCGCGGAGCCGGGCAGCAGCAUGCCUGACCAAUGGGCACACCCGGGCCACAUAGACAACCUUGGACUGAUGUUGAGGGGUUGCCGCCAGCAUUGUGAAUAUUCAGAUGCUGGGCUGGUGAUUCUGGGAGACAGGGAGGCCCUACCUCAAGGUAGGAAGAAGACUGAUGAUCUGUUUCCCUUCUGUUCCUCUCCCUUUAUCCUUUUGAGCAGCUUGACAGAACCUGGGGGAGCAGUGGACUCUGCAUCUGGCCUGAGCCAACCCCAGGCUGUAGCUUGGGGGCUGUGGGGAGCUUUGGCUCCAAGGACCAAUAAAACGUCAACAGCGAUGAAUUCUCUGCGCCAGAGCUUAAGUUCCCUUCACAGCAGUUCCUCUCCAUAACGUACUCUGUUGACAGGAUUCCUCACUGCCACAUCAAGAUUUAUGUCAACUCUUGCCUGUAUAGCACCACAGCAUGAAGAUACUCCCUGCUCCUCAGUCAGUGCCUUCACUUUGUUCUACUUCAUAGUAGCUCUCCAGGACGUUGGUGGUAGCAGAUACAGGCUGACCUGUAGGAAAGAAAUUCUUAAGCUUAGAUGAAGCCUCUCUGCUGCUGUCCAAGCCAGAGGGUAGAGCAGAAACCUGUGGGUGUCCUUGUAGUCCCUUGCUUAAAGCAACCUGCAGCCCACCCUGGGGUCUUUAUAUUCCCUUGAGACAGUGGAGACCUAAGAUUUGGUGUGCGGUCACUACCUUUAGGAGUGGUAUAGGAAAACAUCCUCCUCCAAGAUGGAGGCUGAGUGACCAGUAUUACUUAACGCAGAAACCAAAGCCAGAGGAUCCAUGUAUGGUUAGACCUUGCCAUCUUUGGGAGUAUGCAAGAGGAACUGAGUGUCAUGGAAGAAUGAGAAUCAGAGAGUGGGGAAAGAGGUCAUCUCAGGCAACAUCCAAAAAUAAAGACUUUUGGUACAAAGAGCAGAGCCUGGCAUGGUGACUCAUGACUGUCAUUUAACACUAGGGAGGAAGAAGCCAAUAGACAGGAAGAACAUAUAAGCCUGGGAUACAAAGCAGGGCCCAGUUUCAAAACAAACAAUGGGGGUGUGUGCAUGUGUGUCAAGGAACAGGUACUGCAGAAGAGAAAACUAUACAAAAAUCCGAGAUAGAAACAGCUGAGAAAAGGAAGGAAAAAUGCUGGGGCAAGAAUGAGGGCCAACUCUGCGUACAGAACAAGGUAGUGAGAUGAGAUAGAUUUUUGCCUUCUGGAGAAAUAUGAGAAAAAGGAAGAGAACUGUGGCUUCUGUUGAGAGAACAACAGUUUAGGAGAAACAGAGGGUGCAUUGGUAGAGAAUGCAUAGAGACUUGUGAAAGAGACAAGAAGACAAAGCAACCGAUAGGAAAGGAGUGGGUUAGUAGGGAUCAAGAAAAAAGAAGAAAAAAAGAAAGAGAAAAAACGCUGUAGAUAGUGCAUGGAUGAGAAAACUGGGAAAGAACAGGAAAGGGUAUUCAAGACAGAAGACAGAGGGCCACUGAUGAGAGAAACAGCUUCUAGAGAACUUGAGAGAUGGAAACAAGGUGUGACCACAAGUCUGAAAUCACAGUACUCUGCAUGCUGAGGCAGGAAGAUUGUAGGUUUGAGGCCAGCCUGGGAAGGAGCACCAACCUAGAAAAACAACUACAACAACAAAAAUGCAUAGAGUUAUGUGGACACAAUGGAUUGUUUUCUUUCUUUUUUUUAGCUGUAAAGAAUAAAUCAUGAUAGCUGCAGAAAAAAUGGAUAUAACUGGAAGUCAUGUUUGGUAGAAUAAUAUACAGACAAAUGCUUAAUGUUUUCUUUUAUGCAAAACUUAGAUUCAAACGAUAAAUAUUUGUGUGUGUGUUUGCAUUUAUAUAUUUAUAAGUUAUGAAAAUAUAGGGGUCAUGGGCCAGGUAUGGUGGUGCACACCUUUAAUCCCAGCACUUGGGAGGCAAAGGCAGACAAAUCUGAGUUCAAGGCCAGCCUGGUUUUCCAAGCAAGUCCAGGACAGGUCUGUUACAUAGAGAAACCCUGUCUUGAAACAAAAAUAAAAGAAAGAAAGAUAAUCGAGUUGAAGAAUGUAAUCCAUGUGACACAGAAAUGGAAGAGUAAAGAACCAACCAGAAAGGGACAGUAUGGGAGGAGCACAGGAAGAGUAAUGAGUGAAUGAGCGAGUCAUUCGUGUUUAUGCGAAUGUCAGGACAAAACACAUUACCUUUUACGUAAUCAUAAAAUUUAGGACCAAUAAACUUAAAAUGCACACUGACCUUACUAAUAACCUCAGUACAGAGUAAUGCUGGGUUCUUAACCUGGUAGUUGUGAUAGUUAACCUCCAUUGUCAGCUCGAUGAAAUCUAGAGUCAUCUGGGAGAUGGGCCUCUAGGGAGUGUUUUGAUUAAGUUAAUUGACAUGAGGAGACUUGCUCACUUGAGUGGCACCUUUUCUUGCUAAGAAGACUGUGUAUAGCUAAAUAUGGUUGUUAAUAUUGAUUGAAUGGAAUAUUCUAUAUAUGCUAAGUCCAUUUCCUCUAUGGUAUAUCUUUGUUAACUUUUAGUUUGGAUGACCUCUCUAAAUGAAAGUUUAGUAUUGAAUUCACCUACUAGUAUCGUAUAAGGAUCAAUUUUUCCAUUUGGCGUUUGUUUUAUGAAGUUGGAGUCACAACAUUUGGUGUGUUUGGUUUAAUGCUCUUGACAGAAUGUUAACACAGAAGUGGAUGCUCACACUCAGCUAUUGGAUGGAUCACAGGGCCCCCAAUGGAGGAGCUAGAGAAAGUACCUAAGGAGCUAAAGGGGUCUGCAACCCCAUAGAUGGAACAACAAUAUGAGCUAACCAGUACCCCCUGGAGCUCGUGUCACUAUCUGCAUAUGUAGCAGAAGAUGGCCUAGUCGGCCAUCAGUGGAAAGAGAGGCCCAUUGGUCUUGCAAACUUUAUAUGCCUCAGUACAGGGGAACGCCAGGGCCAAGAAAGGGGGGGGGGAGAUGGGGGACUUUUGGCAUAGCAUUGGAAAUGUAAAUGAAGAAAAUACCUAAUUAAAAAAAAUAAAAAAUAAAAAUAAAAAAAAGAAAUUAAGCAUCUUUGAAGCAGAAAAAAGAAUGUUUUCCAACUUUUGAUUUUUAUCAGUGAGGGUGUGUUUCUUGGAGAGAGCAUAGAGUUGGAUCUAGAUUUUUCCCCUUAAAUAUAUGAAUAGAUUGUAUUUUCAUUUUAUAAGAAUGAUUUAGUUGCUGGGUGGUGACAUGUCUUUACUCCCAGCACUUGGGAGGCAGAUACAGAUGGAUCUCUGUGAGUUUGAGGCCAGUGUGGUCUAUAGAGCUAGGUCCAAGACAGGCAGCGAUACACAAAGAAACCCUGAUUCAAAACUAUUUAGAGCUUGAAAUUUAUAAGAAUGUUGAGAGGUUUCAUUGCUCCCUUUGCCCAUCACGUGUAAGCCUCUCCCAUCAUCAACAUUUUUCCAUUACAGUGCUGUGUGUGGUACAGUCCACAGUGACACAUUCUCACCCAAAGUCUACACUUCACAUUAGUGUUCAUUAUUUCUUCCUUGUUCUUCUUUAUUAAAUCAGGCUACCUUUCAACUUGCCCUCCCAAUAGUCUUCCAAAUGCUGCAGUUGUAUGUGUGCCCACUAUACCAAACUGGGGUUCAUAUUUUGUGCCUUACAUUUGGUAAGUAUUGACAAAUAUGUAAUGACCUCACUGAAAUACCAUACAGAGUAUUUCACAGCCCCUAGUCCUCCACAUUCUUCCUAGUCACCUCUGUCAAGUGGUGGCCUUCCACUGUUCUCCAUGGAAUAGUCAAGUGGUGGCCUUCCACUGUUCUCCAUGGAAUAGUCAAGUGGUGGCCUUCCACUGUUCUCCAUGGAAGUUCCUUUGCAGUUUUUAAUCCAGUCAAUCAGUUUGCAUCUCCGUUUUUUGUUUGUUUGUUUGUUUGUUUGUUUUUUUGUCAAGUUGAGGCCAUUACUUGUAGAUUAUCAUUGAAAAAUAUCGACAAUUUUUUGUCAUUUUUGUUGGUUGGAUUAUUGUUUGUUCUUUAUAUUGUCCCACAUUAGUAUCUGGUUUACUUUGUUGGAUAUAACGGGCUCCUUCCAGCUCUCCUUUGUUCAGCUAGCCUGUUCAUUAAAUCUAUUCUUUCCUGUGUGGCCAUGUGAUUGAAAUUUCUUCUUUUGCUUGCAGUAUUCCUUUAGUGUCUUCUGCAGUGCUGGCUUGGUGGUCAGGGACUCCUUCAGUGUGGUUAUGUUGAAAUGUCCUUAUUUGUUUUCAAAUUCAGAAGACCACUUUGCUUGCAUAGUAGUCUUGACUAGCAAUUACCUGCUUUUGAGACUUGAAUUACAUCAUUUCAUGAUUUCUUGGUUCACGGUUGCUGAUAGUACUCUGGUGCUUUGCUUUUGUAGGUGAGUUGGUGUUUUCCUUAUAUAGCAUCUAAUACUGUUUCUUUGCUUUGUAUCUUUGACAUCUUGACUAUAAGAUGUCAUGGAGAGGUUCUUCCCUGAUUUCGUUAGUUUGGGAUUUUGAAUGUCACUUAUGUUUGAAUGUUUGUUUCUUCUUCUGGGCUUGGGGAAGCUUCUGCCUUAAUGUUGAAUGGAAAUGCUGUACCUUUGGUGUUUACUUCACUAGUCCUGUGGGUUCUUGGGUUUGGUCUUCCUUGAACAUUGUGGUUAUGAUAAUUUACUUUUUGCUUAUUGGUGCCUAUAUGUAUUAUUUCUCCUCUCCUCUCCAUCCUGAUAUUCUUUCUUCUGUUUUUUCGAGUCCAUUGUCCAUGCUUCUUAUUAUGCGCUUUUGGUUUUGUUUUCAUUUUCAACCCCUUUGCCCCUCCUCUUCUCAGCUUCAUUGGUAAGUUUCCUUUCAUCUUGCUGAGUUUUUUCAUCUAUUUUGCUGCCUUUUUCUUUUGUAUUGAUGACUUUCUCUGUAGGUCCUGUAUUGGAUUAAUUUUCGCAUUGAAUAUUUACUUUCAGGUCAUUGAUCAUUUUUUUUAAUAAGAAAACUUUGAAAUACUCAUCUGAUAUUUUACCUAUCUCAGAGCGUUGCAUUACUUUUUAAUGUUUCUUGUGUUUUGUGUUGUAAGCUACACAUCUUCUGGUUUAUAUGUCUCUUCUGGAUUUUGGAGAUGUAGUGGUGGUAGUGAUGGUGGUGAAUUUCAUCAAUAGCUUAGACCGUAGGGAAAGUAAGUGCUACAAAUUCACUGAUCUCUUUGCCAGUCUCCAUAAAGUCUGAAACCUCAGAAAGCUGACCGGACACAUGAUCUUCUUUCCUUUGUGAUUUUUAUUACAUGUAAUAGUUUUUUUUUUCUACUAUGGUAUAAGAUAGUAUAGAAGUUACUUAAAAAAUUAAAAAUAGAACAUUAUUGAAUCUAACUAUACCACACUUGGGCAUAUAGACCCAGAAGACAUCAGUAAAGGUAUUUGCACAUCCAAGGUUAUUGUUGUACUUGCAUGGUAGGUUCAAAAAGGAAGAAUGCUAGAUAUCUAUCAACAGGUGAAUUGAUAAAGUAAGUAUGGAACAUAUUUACAGUAGCAUUUAUUCAACCUUAAAAAUGAAUAAAGUCAUUACAUUUAAAAGGAAAAUUAUGGAUUUGGAAAUUGUUAAAUUAUGUGACUAAAGCCAUGGUCAUAAGUAUAAAUAUCAUAUGUAGCUGGCAUCCAUUCUUUCUCUCUCCCCAAUCACAUGAAAGUAGAAAGUAGCCAAGAGAGGGAAGAAAGUGAGGGAGCUGGAAAAGAGGGGGGUAAUGAAACAUACAUAUGAAUAUAGAAAUAAAGAUUGUUUUAAGAUAAGGAACAAGAGGAGACAGAUAGAGGGGAUGGGGGUAUUAGCUUGUUAGGGGGAUGAAUAGGAAUAAAAUAUAUGUAUGAAAAUGUAAUAAUGUUCUAACUUGAACAAUUAAUAAAAAGUUUACUAAGUCUUA